AAACUCAUGUCUCCAACAUCAUCCAUUACCGAGAUUCACCAGCAAUUUGUCGUGCCAGAAAAUACAUUAGAAUCUGAUUUCGGGGAGUCUCCCACGAAGAAGAAAAAGAGAAUCAAAAUUUUCAUUCCACUAGCUCCAAUCAACAAAUUUUCUACCAAAAAUCUACAAAUAAACUACAAAUCAGUUUAAGUAUGUAUAAAGCAAUAUUGUUUUAAUGGUAUCUACAAAGUACUACUUUUAUACUACAAUAAAACUGCAAUUUAUGUUGAAAAAAAUGUUGACUAUCAAAUUUUCUCCUAAUCUACAAAAAAUCUACAAAUAAACGAUAAGUCAGUUUAUGUAUGUAUAAAGCAGUAUUGUUUUGAAGGAUAUCUACAAACUUACUACAUUUAUACUAUAAUUACACUAUAAUCUAUGUUGAAAAAAAAUAUUGACUACAAAAUUUUUUCUUUAUCUGCAAAAUUUCUACAAAUAAACUACAAAUAAGUUUAAAUAUUAUAUAAUGUUGUAUUAUUUUUAAGGUUAUCUAUAAAAUUACUACAUUUAUAUUACAAUUAAACUAUAAUCUAUGUUGAAAAAAUAUGUUGACUAUAAAAAUUUUUCUUCAUCUAUAAAAUUUCUACAAAAAAGAAUACAAAUAAACCAACCUUUCUUAUUUCAUCUUCAUCCUUGUAAAAGGCCCAUGACUACUCCUUAAUGAAAUCUUCAGGGUUGUAUAUGUACCAAAUUGGUGUAGGCCACAACCAUUGCCAAUAUUUGGCGUUAUUAUUGUAUGGGAUUUAUAAUGGGUUUC
rnacentral:lncRNA from 1 species